AUUGAACGCUGGCGGCAGGCCUAAUACAUGCAAGUCGAGCGGAUGAAGGGGGCUUGCUCUUGGCUUAUGCUGCCGGCGGGCGGGUAAUGAACAGGUAUAUGACUGGCGGUGGGGGCUAACGUAAGGAAGGGGGCCCUAAUCCCGUAUCCGUCAUGAGGGUGAACGUGGGGGUUCUUCAGAGAUAACGCUACCAGAUGAGCCUUGGUCGGAUUAGCUAGUUGGUGAGGUAAAGGGUUACCAAGGCGACGAUGCGUAGCUGAUCUGAGAGGGUGAUCAGUCACACUGGAACUGAGACACGGUCCAGACUCCUACGGGAGGCAGCAGUGGGGAAUAUUGGGCAAUGGGCGAAAGCCUGAUCCAGCCACGCCGCGUGAGUGAAGAAGGUCUUCGGAUUGUAAAGCUCUGUAAGUUGGGAAGAAGAGCAGUGAGAGUAUAUCUGGCUGUUUUGACGGUACCAACAGAGUAAGCAACGGCUAACUUCGUG
rnacentral:rRNA from 1 species